GGUAGACAAUUCUGGGACACAGGCCCUUCUCAGAUCAUGUUCUCAACCCUGGCUCCAGUAGGGAGCUCAUCUGAGAUCUCAUCCCUGCCCAGGCCUCAGUACGGCUAGCCCAGCUGCAGAGUAAUGAGGACAUCACACCCUCCGAGUGCUGAGCUCCCUGAGGAACGCAUACUACGGACCAGGGUGUCUAUCUGGACUUAUUGCAUCACUACAAUGUCCACCUAGCUGGAGGCUCUGCACUGUGCUUUGAAAUGAAUCCCGCUAUCCACAGCUCACCUUGGAGCUUCUUGCCCACUCUGCCCCUUCCUUACAAGGACAGGACUGAGGCCACCAAUGAAGGCAUGCACUGAAGAACGUGGUCAUCGGGACAACGGUCACAUAGCUGGCACUGAACUCCUUUCAUCUGCCAUCCUGUGACACCUCUCUGCUGGUGAUGAGGUCUACCAUCAGUCACCAACACAGCCUCGUAGUACAGCAACAGAGACUCUGCUUCAGGAUCAGGUCUUGAAUUCGGAUCCCAGCAACCACACGGUGGCUCACAACUACCGGCAAUGA